rfam:Salmo salar isolate Sally breed double haploid chromosome ssa14, whole genome shotgun sequence.
GAGGUAUAUACAGUAAGUCGCUCUGGAUAAGAGCGUCUGCUAAAUGACUUAAA